rnacentral:tRNA from 1 species
GCCUGGGUGGCUCAGUCAGUUAAGCAACUGACUUCGGCUCAGGUCAUGACCUCACGGUUCGUGGGUUCAAGCCCCGCAUCGGGUU